rnacentral:tRNA from 1 species
AGGCGUAUAGCUCAGUUGGUAGAGCAGCGGAUUCCAAAUCCGCCGGUCGGGGGUUCAAGUCCCUCUGCGCCUGCCA